CACAUGCAAGUCGAACGGAAAGGCCCUUGCUUGCAAGGGUGCUCGAGUGGCGAACGGGUGAGUAACACGUAGGUGAUCUGCCUUUCACUUCGGGAUAAGCUUGGGAAACUGGGUCUAAUACCGGAUAUUCACGGCACCGUGGUUGGUGUGGUGGAAAGCUUUUGCGGUGGGAGAUGAGCUUGCGGCCUAUCAGCUUGUUGGUGGGGUAAUGGCCUACCAAGGCGGCGACGGGUAGCCGGCCUGAGAGGGUGUGCGGCCACAUUGGGACUGAGAUACGGCCCAGACUCCUACGGGAGGCAGCAGUGGGGAAUUUUGCACAAUGGGCGGAAGCCUGAUGCAGCGACGCCGUGUGGGGGAUGAAGGCCUUCGGGUUGUAAACUCCUUUCGUCAGGGACGAAGUUUGUUUGACGGUACCUGGAUAAGAAGCACCGGCUAACUACGUGCCAGCAGCCGCGGUAAUACGUAGGGUGCGAGCGUUGUCCGGAUUUACUGGGCGUAAAGGGCUCGUAGGUGGUGUGUUGCGUCGUCUGUGUAAUCCAGGGGCUUAACUUUUGGUUGGCAGGCGAUACGGGCAUUGCUUGAGUGCUGUAGGGGAGACUGGAAUUCCUGGUGUAGCGGUGAAAUGCGCAGAUAUCAGGAGGAACACCGAUGGCGAAGGCAGGUCUCUGGGCAGUUACUGACGCUGAGGAGCGAGAGCAUGGGUAGCGAACAGGAUUAGAUACCCU
rnacentral:rRNA from 1 species